GUUUGACGCCAGCAUAGGGCAGUUGGGUUGAUAUAGAAUGCAUCACCUUACUCAAAGAGUAGACAUGUGAGUAAGAUAUAAUAGAGGCCACAUAAUUCUAAGGUAUUCCAGUGCCACCUUUCUGCAACUAGAAAAGACAUAUAACAUGCCCGCUAAAGAUUUUUUUUUUUUUUUUGGUAGCUUCAGUUUAGGCGCUUUUAAAUAUCAUACCAACAAAUAUACUGCAAUUUAAAACGCAG